rnacentral:tRNA from 1 species
GACGCCGCCCUUUCACGGCGGAAACAGGGGUUCGAUUCCCCUUGGGCGUACCA